CUCGCCCGGGGACUACGAGCAUAAGCUUAAAACCCAAAGGACUUGGCGGUGCUUUAAACCCACCUAGAGGAGCCUGUUCUAUAACCGAUAACCCCCGUUAAACCUCACCUUCUCUUGUUAUUUCCGCCUAUAUACCGCCGUCGUCAGCUUACCCUGUGAAGGCUAUCUAGUAAGCAAAAUUGAUUUUAUCCAAAACGCCAGGUCAAGGUGUAGCAAAUGAGAAGGAAAGAAAUGGGCUACAUUUUCUAAUUUAGAAAAUACGGAAACUGCCAUGAAACAGCAUAUUUAAAGGAGGAUUUAGCAGUAAGUAGAGAAUAGAGAGCUUC
rnacentral:rRNA from 1 species